rnacentral:rRNA from 1 species
GGUUAAGCGACUAAGCGUACACGGUGGAUGCCCUGGCAGUCAGAGGCGAUGAAGGACGUGCUAAUCUGCGAUAAGCGUCGGUAAGGUGAUAUGAACCGUUAUAACCGGCGAUUUCCGAAUGGGGAAACCCAGUGUGUUUCGACACACUAUCAUUAACUGAAUCCAUAGGUUAAUGAGGCGAACCGGGGGAACUGAAACAUCUAAGUACCCCGAGGAAAAGAAAUCAACCGAGAUUCCCCCAGUAGCGGCGAGCGAACGGGGAGGAGCCCAGAGCCUGAAUCAGUGUGUGUGUUAGUGGAAGCGUCUGGAAAGGCGCGCGAUACAGGGUGACAGCCCCGUACACAAAAAUGCACAUGCUGUGAGCUCGAUGAGUAGGGCGGGACACGUGGUAUCCUGUCUGAAUAUGGGGGGACCAUCCUCCAAGGCUAAAUACUCCUGACUGACCGAUAGUGAACCAGUACCGUGAGGGAAAGGCGAAAAGAACCCCGGCGAGGGGAGUGAAAAAGAACCUGAAACCGUGUACGUACAAGCAGUGGGAGCACGCUUAGGCGUGUGACUGCGUACCUUUUGUAUAAUGGGUCAGCGACUUAUAUUCUGUAGCAAGGUUAACCGAAUAGGGGAGCCGAAGGGAAACCGAGUCUUAACUGGGCGUUAAGUUGCAGGGUAUAGACCCGAAACCCGGUGAUCUAGCCAUGGGCAGGUUGAAGGUUGGGUAACACUAACUGGAGGACCGAACCGACUAAUGUUGAAAAAUUAGCGGAUGACUUGUGGCUGGGGGUGAAAGGCCAAUCAAACCGGGAGAUAGCUGGUUCUCCCCGAAAGCUAUUUAGGUAGCGCCUCGUGAAUUCAUCUCCGGGGGUAGAGCACUGUUUCGGCAAGGGGGUCAUCCCGACUUACCAACCCGAUGCAAACUGCGAAUACCGGAGAAUGUUAUCACGGGAGACACACGGCGGGUGCUAACGUCCGUCGUGAAGAGGGAAACAACCCAGACCGCCAGCUAAGGUCCCAAAGUCAUGGUUAAGUGGGAAACGAUGUGGGAAGGCCCAGACAGCCAGGAUGUUGGCUUAGAAGCAGCCAUCAUUUAAAGAAAGCGUAAUAGCUCACUGGUCGAGUCGGCCUGCGCGGAAGAUGUAACGGGGCUAAACCAUGCACCGAAGCUGCGGCAGCGACGCUUAUGCGUUGUUGGGUAGGGGAGCGUUCUGUAAGCCUGUGAAGGUGUACUGUGAGGUAUGCUGGAGGUAUCAGAAGUGCGAAUGCUGACAUAAGUAACGAUAAAGCGGGUGAAAAGCCCGCUCGCCGGAAGACCAAGGGUUCCUGUCCAACGUUAAUCGGGGCAGGGUGAGUCGACCCCUAAGGCGAGGCCGAAAGGCGUAGUCGAUGGGAAACAGGUUAAUAUUCCUGUACUUGGUGUUACUGCGAAGGGGGGACGGAGAAGGCUAUGUUGGCCGGGCGACGGUUGUCCCGGUUUAAGCGUGUAGGCUGGUUUUCCAGGCAAAUCCGGAAAAUCAAGGCUGAGGCGUGAUGACGAGGCACUACGGUGCUGAAGCAACAAAUGCCCUGCUUCCAGGAAAAGCCUCUAAGCAUCAGGUAACAUCAAAUCGUACCCCAAACCGACACAGGUGGUCAGGUAGAGAAUACCAAGGCGCUUGAGAGAACUCGGGUGAAGGAACUAGGCAAAAUGGUGCCGUAACUUCGGGAGAAGGCACGCUGAUAUGUAGGUGAAGUCCCUCGCGGAUGGAGCUGAAAUCAGUCGAAGAUACCAGCUGGCUGCAACUGUUUAUUAAAAACACAGCACUGUGCAAACACGAAAGUGGACGUAUACGGUGUGACGCCUGCCCGGUGCCGGAAGGUUAAUUGAUGGGGUUAGCGCAAGCGAAGCUCUUGAUCGAAGCCCCGGUAAACGGCGGCCGUAACUAUAACGGUCCUAAGGUAGCGAAAUUCCUUGUCGGGUAAGUUCCGACCUGCACGAAUGGCGUAAUGAUGGCCAGGCUGUCUCCACCCGAGACUCAGUGAAAUUGAACUCGCUGUGAAGAUGCAGUGUACCCGCGGCAAGACGGAAAGACCCCGUGAACCUUUACUAUAGCUUGACACUGAACAUUGAGCCUUGAUGUGUAGGAUAGGUGGGAGGCUUUGAAGUGUGGACGCCAGUCUGCAUGGAGCCGACCUUGAAAUACCACCCUUUAAUGUUUGAUGUUCUAACGUUGACCCGUAAUCCGGGUUGCGGACAGUGUCUGGUGGGUAGUUUGACUGGGGCGGUCUCCUCCUAAAGAGUAACGGAGGAGCACGAAGGUUGGCUAAUCCUGGUCGGACAUCAGGAGGUUAGUGCAAUGGCAUAAGCCAGCUUGACUGCGAGCGUGACGGCGCGAGCAGGUGCGAAAGCAGGUCAUAGUGAUCCGGUGGUUCUGAAUGGAAGGGCCAUCGCUCAACGGAUAAAAGGUACUCCGGGGAUAACAGGCUGAUACCGCCCAAGAGUUCAUAUCGACGGCGGUGUUUGGCACCUCGAUGUCGGCUCAUCACAUCCUGGGGCUGAAGUAGGUCCCAAGGGUAUGGCUGUUCGCCAUUUAAAGUGGUACGCGAGCUGGGUUUAGAACGUCGUGAGACAGUUCGGUCCCUAUCUGCCGUGGGCGCUGGAGAACUGAGGGGGGCUGCUCCUAGUACGAGAGGACCGGAGUGGACGCAUCACUGGUGUUCGGGUUGUCAUGCCAAUGGCACUGCCCGGUAGCUAAAUGCGGAAGAGAUAAGUGCUGAAAGCAUCUAAGCACGAAACUUGCCCCGAGAUGAGUUCUCCCUGACCCUUUAAGGGUCCUGAAGGAACGUUGAAGACGACGACGUUGAUAGGCCGGGUGUGUAAGCGCAGCGAUGCGUUGAGCUAACCGGUACUAAUGAACCGUGAGGCUUAACCUU